GAAGGUCAGGCUGAAGACCUUACCCGAUUAGCUGAGAGGUGGUGCAUGGCCGUCGUCAGUUCGUACUGUGAAGCAUCCUGUUAAGUCAGGCAACGAGCGAGACCCACGUCCACAGUUGCCAGCAUACCCGUCCGGGGUGAGUGGGUACACUGUGGAGACCGCCGCUGCUAAAGCGGAGGAAGGAGUGGGCAACGGUAGGUCAGUAUGCCCCGAAUCUCCCGGGCUACACGCGGGCUACAAUGGUUGGUACAAUGGGCAUCUACCCCGAAAGGGGAAGGAAAUCUCUUAAAGCCAAUCGUAGUUCGGAUUGAGGGCUGCAACUCGCCCUCAUGAAGCUGGAAUCCGUAGUAAUCGCGUUUCAACAGAACGCGGUGAAUACGUCCCUGCUCCUU
rnacentral:rRNA from 1 species